GAAAAGAACAUUUCCAAACCAAACCAACUCAUGAACAUGGUUAAACACUUUUGUAUACACAUGGUUGCAAAUUUACAAUUCAAAAGGGAAUUGUUUGGUUAAAAUACAUUUAAGGUUUUCCAACCAGUGAGGAGCUAUACAACAGAAUACAAAACUAGCUCAACUCAUGUUUGAAAACAUCAUAGUCUCCAAAAGGUGAUUUCCUGUAAGGAAAACAAGGAUAAUGGAACGGGCUGAGCUAGAAGCUCAAUGAGGUACCAAAAUAUAACAGUAGAAAUAAUGGGAAAACACUUAUGGGACAAAUAUCCGCAUCAAGUAACCAAAAUAAACGAUCAUCACAAUUCAAAGGAUACAGGUGGCUCUCAGGAGCCAAUUCCCCGUUGCAAUACUUGAUCCAGUCUCGUUGACCCUCCGUCAACGUUCACAUAAAGAAACCAGUCCAGUAGAACACCACUUUAACACCAAAAUCCCAUUCACCAAACAUACCCCUUACCGGGCCCGAACGCCAAACAGGAACAGGAAUGGUAAUACUCGAGUAUACCGGAAUCAAGAGUCUCAAUACCCAAAGAUUCCCUAGGAACAUGUACCCAUGGAUUGUCAAUUAUCUCGACCAAGCCCUUGCUGGCUCGAUUUAAUUAACUCCCCAUGAGGUUGAACUCAAGUUUAACAGGAAGAUCGUUGGACACACUUCCAAACGAUCUCAUAACAAGUGCAAGUAACAAGUCCAAAUACAAGUAAUAGAUUCCAGUUCGUUCAGUACAAGCAAGAGAACGAGUGUGAAAAGUACACCCUCGUCUCAUACAAGAUAAACAGUCAGGAAAGACAUUCAAAUAGCAAUUUGCAAGUACAGACAACCAGUUUAGUAAUAAUUCAGGGGAGUGGUGCACUCACCAGUUAAAGCAAGGAUACGUCAAAAGUUUCAACCAAGGUAGGGCUCUAAUCACCAAGAAACCCUAGAAUCAAGAAACCCUAGAAUAACCAAGGUAAACAAUUAUGGCUUCCACAAUCACAAAUCCAGUAAAUGGAAUGUAUAAACGAGGCUCGACUACAUGUCACACGCCUUUCCAAGUUAAGUACUAGUACAAAAGAACAAAAUAUGACUUUUAAGCAAAAAGGAUAACAGUUGGUCCUAGAGUUACAAACAACUCCCAAAACCCAUCAUUUUUACCAAGAUCAACUCAACUUGAAAGAAUCACGUAGUCCUAAAAUUUUUGGGCAGCAUACCCUCUGUAUUUACCUGUUUUCCAUCCAUUUAUGGCUUCAUUGUUUUCCUCAAUCAAUCCCAAAAUCACACACAAAAUAAUCUCAUUUCAAUAGCCGUUCAAUAGGCUCAAAGUGGUACAAGUAUAAAGUCAAGCUAGGACAAUGUCCGGAAAUGAAGUUUAUGCCCUAAAGCCAAAAGACAGUUUUGACGUCAUUUAGUGGAACGGACACAACUGGGGCUACACUUAUCGGAUUGAGGUGUAAUUUACACCGUUUCGAAGCUAAGGAAAAGGGUUACAAUGUUGAAGAAGGCCACUCAGUCCAGUUUGCAAUGUAUCUAGGUCAAAUUUACCAAAACAAUCCCAGAGUUUCCAAUUCGAAGUUUACUGUGGCAGUCCUGAUUCAUUCAGUUAUAUCUCAGCAUAUACAAUUCUAAUUCAACUGAUUCCAAAGCCAUUUGGAAGCUAAGAUACAAGGCUAUAAGUCUAAAGAAGACAUAGACAACCAAAUCAGUAGUAUUCCUGGUCAAAACAACCAAUUACAAAAGCUGAUUAUCAGGUUCGGACAGAAACAGGGCAGCAGGGGUAUUUCACUCUUUUCAUAGGCUACGUUGCUCCGAUUGAGUUGAAAUUUUGCAGGCAACUAUAAAAUAUCAUUCUCUACAACUUUUAUGUUUUAACCGAAGGCUAAUUCGGCCUCUAACUGGGAGAAACAGUACCAGGCAGAAUGGGGAUUAAUUGAAACCCUAAUUCCAAAAUUUCCUUUCAAAGCGAAAAUUUUCCGCAAAUAGCCACAAUUUACGCCUUAAAGCUUCAUUCUAAACCAUUCCCAACCAUCAUCCAUGGCCACAUAAUAAUAAACAUAUAAAAACAGAAAAAUCAUGAAUAAAAUAAAAUUUUCAUCAAUCUGCAUCAAACAUCAUAAAAGCUUCCACUAAAACAUCUUUUUAGCCAUCACAAGUCAUGAAUUCACCAUUAUUGGAAACAAAUAAUGAAUAUUUACACACCAUACCUUGAUAACUCACAAAAGGUAGUACUUAGGUCUCUUGCUUCCAAAACAACUCCACCAACUUCCUCAAUCCUACCUAGUUAGAGGGUUUUAUGGAAUAAUUUCAAGUUUGGAUAGUUGGAUUGCAAGAUUUGUGCAAGAAAUGGAAGUUGAAGGUUGAAGCUUUCUUUCUUUUCUCUCCAUAUGGAAUUCGGCCAAGGAGCUUGU
rnacentral:lncRNA from 1 species